CCUACGGGUGGCAGCAGUGAGGAAUAUUGGUCAAUGGACGCAAGUCUGAACCAGCCAUGCCGCGUGCAGGAAGACGGCUCUAUGAGUUGUAAACUGCUUUUGUACGAGGGUAAACGCAGAUACGCGUAUCUGUCUGAAAGUAUCGUACGAAUAAGGAUCGGCUAACUCCGUGCCAGCAGCCGCGGUAAUACGGAGGAUUCAAGCGUUAUCCGGAUUUAUUGGGUUUAAAGGGUGCGUAGGCGGUCGGUUAAGUUAGAGGUGAAAUCCCGAGGCUCAACUUCGGCAUUGCCUUUGAUACUGUUCGGCUAGAGAGUAGGUGCGGUAGGCGGAAUGUAUGGUGUAGCGGUGAAAUGCUUAGAGAUCAUACAGAACACCGAUUGCGAAGGCAGCUUACCAAGCUACUUCUGACGUUGAGGCACGAAAGCGUGGGGAGCGAACAGGAUUAGAUACCCCUGUAGUC
rnacentral:rRNA from 1 species